GUGCUGGAUGCUUUUUACAAGAUUCUGGGUGGCCUGACUUCUGCUGAUGGCUAGGGAGUUAGAAGAGCUUGGACAAGGACUCCAUGUGAUAGCUAAACACUUCAUUCCAGACAUGACAACAGCCUGCUCAAAUGAUCUGCUGACCUGUUCUGGAUUUCAUUGUCUAUAUGAUAAAUGCAGGGUGGAGAUUGAAGGGACAACAGGAGGCAAUGUGUCCCCACCUGAAGCAACACGGACGAUUAAUAAAACUGUAAAGAUAGACUCUUUACCUGUUCACCUCCUCUGUUUCCAAACAGUCCAUCUCUACAUUUGUUAUGAGCUUAUUAUUAAAAUCUGCUACUCAAAUGAGAUGAAAAUUGUGGUGACCUCCAGUCAGUGAAGCUGGCUAGCAGAGCUGGGGUCAAGUGUAUACAAGGAAAAAAGAUUUGGUAAGAUGGCUUGCUGUAUUUCAGAUGCUGCCAAUGUGUGUGAAUUCCUCUAUCCAGUGUAAUCCAGCUGUACAUGGUCUGAAAAGCAGAGGAUCUACAAAAGGAGCCAA